rnacentral:tRNA from 2 species
UAAAAGAUAAGCUAAAGAAGCUUUUGUGUUCAUACCUCAAAUAUAAGAUAAUACCUUUCUUUUUA